UCAAGUGAUCCACCUACCUUAGCUCCCAAAGUGCUGGGAUUACAAGCAAGAGCCACUGCGCCAGCAUGGAUCAGAGUUAUUAAUACUUUAAAGUUUGGAGGAGGAGCCCCAAGGCGCUAGCCUUCACCUCUGAAGAGGGAGUACUACUCAGCGAGUGCUAGUAACUUCAGGUUUUCCCUGAAGUCUGUGGCAAACCUCGGUAUAUGCGAUAUGAAAAUCCCAAAACAUCUUACUGGUGUUUACUUCAAGAAGAAGAAGCUGAGGAAGCCCAGACAUCAGGAAGGUGAGAUCUUUGAUACAGAAAAAGAGAAACACCAGAUUACAGAGCAGCGCAAGAUUGAACAGAAAGCUGUGGACUCACAAAUUUUACCAAAAAUCAAAGCUAUUCCUCAGCUCCAGGGCAACUUGUGAUCCGUGUUUGCCCUGAUGAAUGGAAUUUAUCCUCACAAAUUUGUGUUCUAAAUGUCUUAAGAAAAACCUAAUUAAAUAGCUGACGACAA